CUCAGGUGCAGGGGUCAUCAUCAUAAGCCUGGACACGCUCAUAGACAUUCAGUGUGCACUCAGGUUCGAAUUUGAGGCAACCAAUAAUGAAGCAGAGUAUGAGGCCGUCAUCAUAGCCAUGGAACUUGCCAUCAAUCUCGAGCUUGAAAAUAUCAAAAUUUACAGUGAUUCCCAAUUGGUGGUUGGACAAAUUGAAGGGACGUUCGAUAGGAAGGAUGAGAAAAUGAGCUUAUACUGCUUGAAAGUGCAUGAUC
rnacentral:lncRNA from 1 species